CUAUAUCACACAAUAUUUAAGUGAAUUUGUAUUCUAGCUUAUAGGUGUAGAUGAUAGGACAAAAAAACAUAUGUCUGCAGUAUACUCAUUAAUAAUAAAGAAAUUGAAAUGUAUAUAAAUAUUACUUGCGUUCAAAGUGUAGAAGUAUGAAUUACACAUUAUGUUCUGCAGAACUGUAGAAAUAAUUUCUUUUUUUUUUCAUUAAUCUUAGGUUCGUCUGUUGUUUCAAGGAAUCAAACUUCCUUUUUUUUCCUGUAUGGCAGUGUCAACAAUAUAUCUAUUAGAAGACAUACACAGCAAAGAAGUAGUUGCUGCAAUAAGGAGCCAAUCUGGAAAAGAGAGAAAUGAAAGUAGCUCUAAAGAGAGGUUCUUCCUAUCCAAGGAGCUUCGACAGCUUCCAUUAAAGUGAUUUCUACAAUGAAAGAUGAAGCCCAAAAGUAAAUAUUUUUUAUUGGUAUUAUUGCUAUAUAUAAUCACCCUCUAUUGAUAGUUUCAGGUGACAAUGCAAUGAGAACCAAACCAGAGAAGCACAAAUAAAUAGAUACCAAAGCUCAGUGGAUAAAUAUUAAAAAAUAGAUAAAGUUCACAAUAAAAUAUUUACAACUAAUUGAAUUAUUCAUGAGAUAGAGCUUUAAAAUGAUUUUAAAAAAAAUGAUCAAUCCUCUUUUCUUGAUCUUUCCCUCCUGAAGUUGUGCAGCUUUCAGGCACCACAUAUAGGCAGCUGCUUCCUCUCCGCCCAGGCUUCUGGAAUCAUUGCUGCUCUUCGAUCGCCACAUCGUUUCGAACAUUUUCCUCCACAGCAUUGUGAAGACUUAUUUAUAGUGUCUUAGGUUUAUAGGAGCUUUAAUUUUAAAAUAAAUGUUUAGUCUGGAAGAUGGCAACAGUCAUCCUCAAUUUAAAUUCAUUAUGUAUUUUCCCAUGUAUUUAAUAUCUUUUCUGAUGUGUAAGCAACCCUUCGGAUUCCAAGACAUUUAUAUCUUAAAUAUGUUAAAUGAA